UUUGUAAGUGUCUGCUAUGAAUUAGCCUGUUGAAUUCUCAGAACAGCCCCAAGAGGAAGGCAACAUUAUUCUCGGUCCGCGGAAGAGGAAACAGAAACACAAGCAGACUGAGUGCUCCAUGAGCGAAGAACCUGUGUCUUCUUCCUGCUGUUUGUCCUGCUCCUGGGACCGGGCCAGGCACAUGGAAUAGAGUUGGAGAAAGCAGAUCUCUUAGAACCUAGAGCGGUGAUUCUCAAAGUGCGGCCCGGAACUAGCACCAUUACCUGGCAACUUGUUAAGAAUGCACAUUCGGGGCCAUGCCUUUGAACGACAGAAUCAGAAACUCUGGUGGCUGGAACCAGUAUCUAUUUUAUUUUCAUAACCAUUGACUUAGAAGAGACAUGUGAUGUUCUGGCAUGACCAAACAACUGGCUACGUGAUGAGAAACAUUGCCAAUAAGGAAGAAAUUGGGACUUUGGUGAUGAGCUCAAAUUAAGGGAUCACAAAGCUAGAAGUGAUCUAAAAAGCUAGAUCCAGAAAGUGUUAAAUCUAAAAGGCUAGAUCCUUGGGGCGCCUG